CGGAGGCUACCGCUAUUGGAGUUCGAUUAAGCCAUGCGAGUCGCGAGUCUUAGGGACUCGGCGUACCGCUCAGUAACACGUGGGUAACCUGCCCUAUGCUGGGGAAUAACCUCGGGAAACUGAGAAUAAUGCCCCAUAGUUCACCACGCCUGGAACGGUGGGUGGAUCAAAGCUCCGGCGGCAUAGGAUGGGCCUGCGGCGUAUCAGGUCGUAGGGGGUGUAAUGUACCCUCUAGCCAUCGACGCGUACGGGUGUUGGGAGACAUUGCCCGGAGAUGGAUUCUGAGACACGAAUCCAGACCCUACGGGGUGCAGCAGGCGCGAAAACUUGGCAAUGCGAGAAAUCGUGACCAGGGAACUCCAAGUGCAUCGGGUAAGACCGAUGCUUUUCUUGACUCUUCAACGGUCUUGGAAUAAGGGGUGGGUAAGGACGGUGCCAGCCGCCGCGGUAAUACCGGCGCCUCAAGUGGUAGUCGCUUUUAUUGGGCCUAAAACGUCCGUAGCCGGUUUGGUACAUUCGUGGGUAAAUCAAGGCGCUCAACGUCUUGAAUUCUGCGAGCACGGCCAGACUUGGGACCGGGUGAGGUGUGGGGUACUCUCAGGGUAGGGGUAAAAUCCUGUCAUCCUGAGAGGACCACCUGUUGCGAAGGCGCCACACUAGAACGGAUCCGACGGUCAGGGACGAAGCCUAGGGGCACGAACCGGAUUAGAUACCCGGGUAGUCCUAGGUGUAAACGCUGUGGACUUGGUGUUGGGAGUGCUCCGAGCACCCUCAGUGUCGAAGCGAAGGUGAUAAGUCCACUGCCUGGGGAGUACGGUCGCAAGGCUGAAACUUAAAGGAAUUGGCGGGG
rnacentral:rRNA from 1 species